UGCUCUCGGCCAACUUCCUGAUGCUGACGCCGACAGGUGAGCCCCGGUCGUCGAGUGCCUUGUGCGCUCGCAUUUCCCAGGCCCCGAUGACAGCUGGGUCUCCUCCACUCCACCGGUCUUCGCCCAAGCCCGCCGCGUGCUUCGCGUGGAAAUCGACGCAAUUCGUUGAAGGGGGGCUACCCGGGAUAUAGACCCGACCCUGGUCAUAUUUUUCCCUUGAUUGCCCGAGCCGGAAACCAUGGGAGCCACCAUCACUGAGAACACCAUGCCGUGAGAAGAGAGAGCAGGCAAGGGAGGGAGUUCGGCCGCCGCCUCGAUUCUCCAUCCUCACCGCUGAUCGGCAUUCAGAAUCUAGGGCAAAAGGAGCUGGGAGGAAGGUGGAGUGCGCUCGUGUGGGCUACACGCGAAGGGAGCCUGUGAUCGAGUCUGGAUUCCUCAUUGUCGAUGAACGCCGCGGCGCGCUGCAGAGCGACCUUCUCCUGGUCGUGGAAUCAGACGAGCAAGCACCCGAGGAUCUCGGUACUCAACAGGUAGAAAAUACUGAAUAGGAGCUCGUUGAAGGCAAGUUGUGCCCUUGAUCACUUUUCUUUACUCAAUAAUGUUCCUGUUAAUCAUUAUGAUCUGCAUCAGUUAAUUUUGAUCGGACCCAAUAGGGCACCCUAGUUUGGUCAUCUUUAUAACUUGCUUACCGCUGAACUUUUGGGUAGUAUAUGCUAUUGCUUUAUGUGGUUUUGGGUAUUAAAAUACACAUGCAUGCUUGUUAUUGACAAUGAGUUAAUUACUAUUUAUGACAAGAUCAUUAUGCUAAUUGGAAUAUGGAGACCCAUCCAGAAAAAUAGUGCUACCAAAAGGGUGGUAUGGGAUGCCCUUAGCUAACUAAUUAGGAAAGCUAGUGGAGGACUACCUUACCCGUAAGAGGCAAGGGCAGUAGGGGAGUUGUCGAUGUAGGGAGGUUCUCGGGUUGAUCUUGCUGAGAUGGCUUUUCAGACGGGGGAUUCCUAUACCGCUCUCCUCAGAAAUCGUAGCGGGUUUUCUGAAGCUAGUGGAACUUUGUAAAGGCCUUGUAGUGCUACCCUGCCUCGCCUCCUCGGUAGAGGUGUAUGGGGUCCAUACAACCCCAUGACAUAUGGGUAACACGACUUGUGGGUGAAGUUGUGCAACCUCUGCAGAGUGUAAAACUGGUAUAUCAGCCAUGCUCAUGGUUAUGAGUGACUCGAACCCUCACAUGAGUAACUUAUGGAAUUAAACUUAAUUGGUCAUUUGCAUCGCAUUGUGGUUUUAUUAUUAAUUAUGAUCUCUCAUUUUAUUUGGGUUGGUAUUUACUUAUACUUAGUAACUGCUAAUAAAAUUUUACCAACUUUUUAAAAGCAAUGCUUUGCCUUAACCAUUAUUUGUUGAUCAGCCUAACACUAUACAUGAGCCCCCACUUUUGUGAGCUCAUGCACAUUAUUCUUCACACUUGUUGAGCGAUAAACUUUUGUGAGCUCACUUUUGCGAUAAAACCCUCCCCCCACAUGUGAAGAACAUGUAGCCCAGGAGGAGGACUACUACGAGGAGUUUAACAAGGUCUGGCGUCAAGGAAAUAAUAUUAGUUCGCUUUAUUUAUUAUCUGUAUUUUGUAAGACAUUCUCGUUAUGUAAUAAUAUUUGUGACAUUUAUCUC